rnacentral:lncRNA from 1 species
AUAACCCAUUCUUAUGAAUACUAUUUCCUUAGUUGUCUGGGCCUGUUUAGUCUUUUUUUUUUUUUUUUCUGGUACCAGGGAUUGAACUCGGGUCCUUGGCUUGCAAGGAAGGCCACCAAACUGCUGAGCUAAAUCCCCGACCUAGUCUGUUUUGACAAUACCAUCAACUGGGUAUCUUAUGAACAGUCAAAAUGUAUUUCUUACACAUACUGAGGUUGAAUUCCAAGGUCAGAGUGUUGGCAGAUUUAGUAUCUGGUGAGGGCCCACUUCCUGGGUGACAGAUGGAGCCUUCUACUUGUGACCUCACAUAGUAGAAGGGGAAAGGCAGCCCUCUGGGCUCUCUUAGAGGGCACUGUCCCAGUCAUGAAAGCUCUGCUUUCAUGAUCUAAUCCCCAUUCAGAGGCCCGGCCUCCUGAUACCAUCACCCUGAUGCUGAAGAUUUCAGUCUACAAAUUCUGCAGGAACAAGAACGUCCAGCCCUCUGUUCCUCUUUGGAUCUAAGGUUUUGCCAACUAUCAGCAGAAGGAGCAGAUCUGCUACAGACUGGUGGGUUAGCCAGUGUUUGGGAGGAGUCACAUCACUGAGGACGGCCUUAGAAGCCUUCUGUCAGCAUUGUAACUGUUGAAUUUUCAAGACUAUGUGGAGGCG